rnacentral:rRNA from 1 species
GUCUUUUUGAGUUAUUUUAAAAGUCUGACCUGCCCACUGAAUUUUUUUAAAUGGCCGCAGUAUUCUAACUGUGCAAAGGUAGCAUAAUCAUUAGUCUUUUAAUUGAAGGCUGGUAUGAACGGUUGGACGAAGUAUAAGCUGUUUCAUGUAAAUUUACAGUAGAAUUUUAUAUUUUAGUCAAAAAGCUAAAAUGUAAUUAAAAGACGAGAAGACCCUAUAAAUCUUUAUAUUUUAUUUAAUUUAAAUUUUUUUGAUUUUUUUUAUUUUUAUUAUAUAAAAUAUUUUGUUGGGGUGAUAUUAAAAUUUGAUGAACUUUUAAUUGUUUUAAAUCAUUAAUUUAUGAAUUAUUGAUCCAUUAGUAGUGAUUAUAAGAUUAAGUUACUUUAGGGAUAACAGCGUAAUUUUUUUGGAGAGUUCUUAUCGAUAAAAAAGUUUGCGACCUCGAUGUUGGAUUAAGAUAUAGAUUUAGGUGUAGCCGCUUAAAUACUGAGUCUGUUCGACUUUUAAAUUCUU